GAUGAGGCGAUGUAGAACAAAUACAUCAGGGUGGGACUCGCCCCAUCACAGGAUCGAAUCCCUGGCGGACGGUGGUGGGCAUGCUAGCGCCUUCCCCGCUCGUGGGUGAGUUUUUCUCAUCUUAGCUCAUGCCACAUGAAGCUUACUUUGCCCCUGCAUGACUUCAUGUGAGGGCUACUUUUCUUCUACAACUUGCAAUUCCACCAUCUCUAACCCAACAACAUUCUACAUGUUGCUUGCUUCAUCACACUAUGCGAGUGCUUCCUAGGUACCGAUCCACUUUCGGGACUUUGGAAGUGUCACAUCUCAGUGAAGCUCCGAGGAUAAGGUGAACACAUGAUAGUUUGUAGGGGCGUUAUUAUUUGACCCUCUUCACCCUACAACUAUUUUGAUAUGAAUACUUGGGGAGAGGAGUGGUUCUAUCUCCUGAUCGAACGUGCGCCUAGUGGUCAAGAAGAUCUUCCCAGUGUGUUGUUGUGCCACCACUGACGACUGUCAGUUGGAAUGCCAAGCCUUCCAAGGAGGAGAAGCGUGAUCUCGACCAAUUGCUUCAACGAAUCGAAUAGUUCAAGGAUGUGAGUCUCAGUGGAGUGGAUCUCAUCAAGACCUGGUUGAGAUGGCGCAUCUUGCCACUUCAUGCAAGGGCACAUCCUAUCAAUUCAGGCACUUUCGACUGCACCGGGAUCACUGCUAGGAAUAUAUCGAAUGAAUACUUCAUGAAGGUAUUGUAAACCUUGACUCUGGAAGAUGAAGAAGUGAGCUAGGUGUCGUGUAGUUCCUUGCAGUGUUGACCAUCCCCGGCCUCGUGUCAAUACCACUACUCCCCGAAACGACCAAGUUGACGAGAAGUUUUUGAAAGAGGAGGUGGCAGCUACUAAGGGUUCUAACACCUGAAAGAAGGAAACCGUUAGGGUACCGAGUCGAUCCCAAGCAAUCAUGGCAUGGGAGGAUGAUAUUCCGCUAACCCGUCGCUCAAGAAUAUCGCUCUCGAAGUGGAAGCAUCAUGAUGAAGCCUUGGUGCUGGGGCUAUGGAGGCAGUGCCAAGGCUAGUUUUGCAAGUGGUGGAACCCAAGAACUUAUGCAUAGCGCCUAGACAUUCGAUGACACGAGCCAUGACUUUGACUGCCUGGUCGUUUGCUAUCGCGACGAGUGCCCCAAGUUGUGUAUGGCUUUUGUCCAGUUAUGGUCAUUUCACAAACAACCAAGGAGUGGCCGAAGGAAGGUCACCGUCAUCGUCAGGCUAACACUGCUAGGUUCCAAGGAAUCUGACCAGCUUGAGAAGGUGGUGAAGCUGACUGCAGUGCAGCUGACUAGUCAGGCCCCUAGCAUCUUAGGGAUUCCUGAAGUGUCGAGGGUCCAUAUGCCUAUCACGGCAGUCCUGCAGACAACAGAGAGUUUGCCUUUGCCUGUCCCACCAUUGGAGCAGAAACACAAUUAGGAGUUCAAAUGUUGAGGAAUGUGUACUAUUAAAGCAAGGCGCAACUGCUCUUCAAGAAGGGGUGUUGCCUGUCAUGAUAACGGUAGAGGCAAAAGAAUGGUCCAAAGACCAAUGCUGAGAACCAAGAUCAUGGACAUAAUGACAUGGAACAUGAGUUUCACUCGGGAA